rnacentral:siRNA from 1 species
CAUGAACUAAACGUUGACUACCA